AUUAAUUGUUACAUGUCUUAAUUCUUUUUAAUAAAAUGUUGAGUAAAAUAAAAUUAACAAAACUAUUUACAAAACUAAAACUAUUUACAAAAACUAAACUAUUUACAGUAGCAAACUAAACGCAUCAAAAUUUCUGGCCAGCUACAUUUUAUCACCACGCACGUAUUUAAACGAGCGACAUAUUAGGCACCCGGACCGCACCAGCGACUCCUCGCUUCCACGUCGCCGCUGUCACGGCUGCUGCCAGUGCGAAUCUGGAUAUCGAGGCGAACGCACGCCGGUUUUUUGAACACUAACUUUAAGUUAUUAUAACCGCCAUAGCGAUUAAACUUUUUAAGGGCGUCAUUACCGUUCCCUCGACUAUAUAUCUCGACAUAUAAUAAUACUCAGCAUAUUCAGUGUGUGUGAUUUAAACCCCGAUUGGGGUUUCACGUACACCUUAAAUCUCCUGCUUCCCCGCGGUGGACUGUAGCGGGUUGACCUUCGAACCCUACACCAGCACCUGAACCUGAUCUCGGCGCGCGGCCACUUGUUCCUGCAGCGACCAGUGACGUCAGGGAAGUGCUAGGCUAGUGAGGAGGUUAAUCACUGUAAACUUGUAUGUAUGGGCUCUAACCCAUUGUUAUUUCUGCCGACCGAGCUAUACUGUAUUUUGUGUGCGGUAAAUAAAUUGUCCAUCUUGCUACCUA
rnacentral:lncRNA from 1 species